rnacentral:rRNA from 1 species
UACGGAGGGUGCAAGCGUUAUCCGGAUUCACUGGGUUUAAAGGGUGCGUAGGCGGGCAGGUAAGUCCGUGGUGAAAUCUCUGAGCUUAACUCAUAAACUGCCAUGGAUACUAUUUGUCUUGAAUAUUGUGGAGGUGAGCGGAAUAUGUCAUGUAGCGGUGAAAUGCUUAGAUAUGACAUAGAACACCAAUUGCGAAGGCAGCUGGCUACACAAAUAUUGACACUGAGGCACGAAAGCGUGGGGAUCAAACAGG